CGAGUUCCCGUAUGAUCACCGAAGUUAAGCAACGUCGAGCUUGGUCAGUACCUAGUUGGGCAACCGCUUGGGAAUACCAGGUGCUGUAAG